AAAUAUUAAAAUGAGUUUUAAAAUUAAGAUUAAAAAUUUAAAUUUUAGACACGAUGAUGUAGCGCCAUCUGAUAUGACGAGGAUGGCCACGGCCCAUGACUCCAUGGGCCAUGAGGGAGGCGUGCGUGAGAUCGAGAUCUGGCCCGUCUAUCUACUGGGCUCGCACGAGCACGGCGCGGCACCACCCCAGUCGCACGCGGACUGGGCUGAGAAUUCAUGGGCCGGGAGACCAAAACGUAGACGCAAUUUGAAUAAGAUUAUUGGCAGCCAUGCAAUGCAUUAUACAAACGGUAGUCCUCGGAGUGACGUCACAGAAUUGACACUCGGAAGGUUCAUCUUCAUCAUAUCAGAUUAUCAGUCCUAA
rnacentral:lncRNA from 1 species